rnacentral:pre_miRNA from 1 species
CGCAAACAAGUGUGGCGUUGUGGAACUGUCUUUCCAACCGCCGCUGAGCAGGUGCACUCCCUUGAGUCCCUUCGUUGUUGAGCUAACUCGGCGUCUAUGGGAAAGACGGUCCAAAACGCCCACACUGGUUUGC